GAUGAACGCUAGCGGCAGGCCUAAUACAUGCAAGUCGAGGGGUAGAGGUUGCUUGCAACCUUGAGACCGGCGCACGGGUGCGUAACGCGUAUGCAACCUACCUUCAUCAGGGGGAUAGCCCGGAGAAAUCCGGAUUAACACCGCAUAAAAUCACAGUACGGCAUCGUACAAUGAUCAAACAUUCAUGGGAUGGAGAUGGGCAUGCGUGCCAUUAGCUAGUUGGCGGGGUAACGGCCCACCAAGGCUUCGAUGGCUAGGGGAUCUGAGAGGAUGGCCCCCCACACUGGUACGUAGACACGGACCAGACUCCUACGGGAGGCAGCAGUAAGGAAUAUUGGUCAAUGGGCGCAAGCCUGAACCAGCCAUGCCGCGUGCAGGAAGACGGCCCUCCGGGUUGUAAACUGCUUUUAUUCGGGAAUAAACCUGUCUACGUGUAGACAGCUGAAUGUACCGAAGGAAUAAGGAUCGGCUAACUCAGUGCCAGCCGCCGCAGUAA
rnacentral:rRNA from 1 species